rnacentral:lncRNA from 1 species
CCGAGCACAUGGGCCCGCGGGCCGGGCGGGCUCGGGGCGGCCGGGACGAGGAGGGGCGACGAGGAGCUGCGAGCAAAGAUGUGCCCCGGGACCCCCGGCACCUUCCAGUGGAUUUCCUUGCGGAAAGGAUGUUGGCGGUCCCUGUGACCUGUGGAGACACGGCCAGAUCUGCCCUCCAGCCUGAUCUUUUGGCCAGAAGGAGAUUAAAAAGAUGCCCCGCAAGAUGGCUGUGCCUGUCAACUGCAUGGAGCUUCGUUCAAGUAUUUUCUGAGCCUGAUGGAUUUACAGUGAUCUUCAGUGGUCUGGGGAAUAACGCUGGUGGAACCAUGCACUGGAAUGACACACGCCCGGCACAUUUCAGGAUACUAAAAGUGGUUUUAAGGGAGGCUGUGGCUGAAUGCCUCAUGGAUUCUUACAGCUUGGAUGUCCAUGGGGGACGAAGGACUGCAGCUGGCUGAGAGGGUUGAGAUCUCUGUUUACUUAGAUCUCUGCCAACUUCCUUUGGGUCUCCCUAUGGAAUGUAAGACCCCGACUCUUCCUGGUGAAGCAUCUGAUGCACGUUCCAUCCGGCGCUCAGCUGGGCUUGAGCUGACCACACUCCCUGGAGCCUUCUCCCGAGGUGCGCGGGUGACCUUGGCACAUACAGCCAUCGUGAUGGUACUUUAAGUGGAGGCUGAAUCAUCUCCCCUUUGAGCUGCUUGGCACGUGGCUCCCUUGGUGUUCCCCUUUUACUGCCAGGACACUGAGAUUUGGAGAGGUAAGUGGCUUACCUGAGGCCAUGUGCUAACAGAGAAGAUGAAGAGAUGAUUGAAACAGGCCUAAGACCAGACCUAAGGGUCUGUACAUUUUCCACAUACUUUCCAUAUCUUUAGAGGCCUGACCAAAGCAGAUCUUUUCCUUUCUUCUAGGUAAGUCCAAAGGUACCUGCCUGCUGGGCCCACUGUUUUCUAACUUUCCUAACUUUCUGAUCCCUUGGAGGUGAUGAUCAAAUAUUCUAGUCUGAGGCAUUGGGAUACAUGGUGCUAGGUUCUGAGACUCUGCGUCAGGCCUGAACCCUGCAUUUUGUGGAGGUGGGUGGGAGAAUGUUCCCCCAGGGAACAUGCCUAGACACGGGGGACAACAGUUGCCCUCAUGGGGAGGUAUCUGUUUACUCGCUGUUGUGGGACCGCUUUCACAAAACCACUGCAGGUGAGUGAGUUCCUGCUGAAUAUCAGGCCUGGUGUCUCUAGACUCAUUAUUUCCCCCACCCAACCCCUAUGUUAGUUCAUCUCUAGCCACAUUUUUAUUGCCAUCAUCCAGGCCUGGACAGGCCAAGAUCUUUUAACAAUUUUAAUUACUGAAAAUAAUAACUGCAUUUUUUUUUAAAGCCCAACUUUUGGUAGAGUCAGCCCAAAAUACAGUCUUUGUGUUGCCAUCUGGGAACUGGAUUUGGAAUUGUUCUUCCAUGAGACUGCAGAGCAGAACGGCAGGGCCAGAGGUCCCACGAGCUGGUCAGACCCGGUUCUGCUCCUUGCUGGCUGAGUGACCUUGGGCAUU